ensembl:snRNA U1 U1 spliceosomal RNA
GCAGGUGGUUUUCCCAGGGCGAGGCUCAUCCCUUGCACUCCGGGUGUGCUGACCCCUGCGAUUUCCCCAAAUGCGGGAAACUCGACUGCAUAAUUUGUGGUAGUGGGGGACUGCGUUCGCGCUCUCCCCUG